rnacentral:rRNA from 1 species
UCCCUACGGGGCGCAGCAGUGGGGAAUAUUGGGCAAUGGGCGCAAGCCUGACCCAGCAACGCCGCGUGAAGGAAGAAGGCUUUCGGGUUGUAAACUUCUUUUAAGAGGGACGAAGGAAGUGACGGUACCUCUUGAAUAAGCCACGGCUAACUACGUGCCAGCAGCCGCGGUAAUACGUAGGUGGCAAGCGUUAUCCGGAUUUACUGGGUGUAAAGGGCGUGUAGGCGGGAAAGCAAGUCAGAUGUGAAAACCAUGGGCUCAACCUGUGGCCUGCAUUUGAAACUGUUUUUCUUGAGUACUGGAGG